GAUGAACGCUGGCGGCGUGCUUAACACAUGCAAGUCGAACGAAGCGAGAGGAGCUUGCUCCUUAAGCUUAGUGGCGGACGGGUGAGUAACGUGUGGGCAACCUGCCUUUUACAGGGGAAUAAUCACUGGAAACGGUGACUAAUACCGCAUACGAUCUUCGGAAGGCAUCUUCUGGAGAGGAAAGGAGCAAUCCGGUAAAAGAUGGGCCCGCAUCUGAUUAGCUAGUUGGUGAGAUAACAGCCCACCAAGGCAACGAUCAGUAGCCGACCUGAGAGGGUGAUCGGCCACAUUGGGACUGAGACACGGCCCAAACUCCUACGGGAGGCAGCAGUGGGGAAUAUUGCACAAUGGGGGAAACCCUGAUGCAGCAACGCCGCGUGAAGGAAGAAGGUUUUCGGAUCGUAAACUUCUAUCAAUAGGGACGAAUAAAUGACGGUACCUAAAUAAGAAGCCCCGGCUAACUACGUGCCAGCAGCCGCGGUAAUACGUAGGGGGCAAGCGUUAUCCGGAAUUACUGGGUGUAAAGGGAGCGUAGGCGGCAUGGUAAGUAAGAUGUGAAAGCCCGAGGCUUAACCUCGAGGAUUGCAUUUUAAACUAUCAAGCUAGAGUACAGGAGAGGAAAGCGGAAUUCCUAGUGUAGCGGUGAAAUGCGUAGAUAUUAGGAAGAACACCAGUGGCGAAGGCGGCUUUCUGGACUGAAACUGACGCUGAGGCUCGAAAGCGUGGGGAGCGAACAGGAUUAGAUACCCUGGUAGUCCACGCCGUAAACGAUGAGUGCUAGGUGUCGGGGAGGAAUCCUCGGUGCCGCAGUUAACACAAUAAGCACUCCACCUGGGGAGUACGACCGCAAGGUUGCAACUCAAAGGAAUUGACGG
rnacentral:rRNA from 1 species